rnacentral:lncRNA from 1 species
GCGCUUGUGACCUUUCGGCGAAGUGUCAAGCACCGCACGACGUAAACUUACAGAGCGCCAACCCAUGCGCAUCGGUGGACAGCAAGGCCGAAGGGAGUCAGCUAUGCUCUGGACAAUUUUUUUUUUCAGUUAUUAAAGACAUUUUUGAUUGUG